rnacentral:rRNA from 1 species
UAGAGGAAGUAAAAGUCGUAACAAGGUCUCCGUUGGUGAACCAGCGGAGGGAUCAUUACAGAGUUAUCUAACUCCCAAACCAUUGUGAACUUACCAUAUGUUGCCUCGGCAGAACCUACCCUGUAGCGGGCUGCCGGCGGACCUCUAAACUCUUGUUAUAUUAUUGUAAUCUGAGCGUCUUAUUUUAAUAAGUCAAAACUUUCAACAACGGAUCUCUUGGUUCUGGCAUCGAUGAAGAACGCAGCGAAAUGCGAUACGUAAUGUGAAUUGCAGAAUUCAGUGAAUCAUCGAAUCUUUGAACGCACAUUGCGCCCAUUAGUAUUCUAGUGGGCAUGCCUGUUCGAGCGUCAUUUCAACCCUUAAGCCUAGCUUAGUGUUGGGAAUCUGUCCGCAAGGACAGUUCCUCAAAUCCAACGGCGGAUCUGUGGUAUCCUCUGAGCGUAGUAAAUCUUUAUCUCGCUUUUGUCAGGUGCCGCUGCUCUCACCCGCUAAACCCCCAAUUUUUGUGUGGUUGACCUCGGAUCAGGUAGGAAUCCCCCGCUGAACUUAA